GAUGAACGCUGGCGGCGUGCCUAAUACAUGCAAGUCGAGCGAACAGACGAGGAGCUUGCUCCUCUGACGUUAGCGGCGGACGGGUGAGUAACACGUGGAUAACCUACCUAUAAGACUGGGAUAACUUCGGGAAACCGGAGCUAAUACCGGAUAAUAUAUUGAACCGCAUGGUUCAAUAGUGAAAGACGGUUUUGCUGUCACUUAUAGAUGGAUCCGCGCCGCAUUAGCUAGUUGGUAAGGUAACGGCUUACCAAGGCAACGAUGCGUAGCCGACCUGAGAGGGGGGGCGGCACCAGGGGCACAGAGACAGGCACAAGACCCCGGGGGAGGGAACAAGGAGGAAAUCUGCCGCAAGGGGCAAAGCCCGGACGGAGCAGCGCGGGGGGAGUAAUAAAGUUCUUGGGAUCGAAAAACUGUGUUAGGGGGAAAAAAAAAAUGUGUAAGAAACUAUGCGGUUCUGGAGGGGCAAUAAUAAGAAGGCCAGGGCAAACUCGGGC
rnacentral:rRNA from 1 species